GUCCAGGGUAGCCUAGUGGUCAUGGCAUCUGCCCGUUAAGCGGAAAGUGGGUUCGAUUCCCAUCCCUUGACA
rnacentral:tRNA from 1 species